CAAACAUGAAAAUGCACACGAACGGCCAAUGAAAUGAAGAAGACGACGUACGCGAGCAGUGGCACUUGAACUACUCUGCCGUCCGAAACCAUAUAUUUUUUCAAGGACAGGUCAAAUGGAAUCCAAACAUAUCAAAAUACAACACCAUGCUCCGUCACUCCUUCACUUUCUAUUAAAGAUGCCUUAGCCUCCUCCUCCUCCUCCUCCCUAUACCAAUCUCAUCUCCUCUCCAAGUCUUCUUCUCCCUUUCCCCUCUCUAUGGCUUCCCUUGUUAAGCUCUCUUUGCUUCAGAGCGGCGUCCGGCGGUACGAUGCCGUUGGAUGGAAAGCUAGCUUUGCUGAGCGGAAAUCUUUUUCUGAUUCCCUCCCGAACUCGUUGAAAUUGAAUUGCAAGUUAAACAUUUCUUCUUAUUGUUCGAAGACGCAGUGUUUGGGAGUUGGAAUUCCACGUUGCACAACAGAGGUGGUGAAUGAUCGAAUUGUUGAGGAUGAGAAGGGGCAGGAGGGCGGUAGGGUCCUCAGAGUUGGUCUAAUAUGUGGAGGACCCUCAGCAGAGCGUGGGAUUUCUCUAAACUCUGCUAGAUCAGUUCUUGAUCACAUUCAGGGAGAAGAUUUGCACGUAAGCUGCUACUACAUAGACUAUGAACUCAAUGCCUAUGCUAUAUCCUCCGCUCAGGUAUACUCAAAUACUCCAGCAGAUUUUGAUUUUAAACUUGAAAGCCUUGCCCAAGGUUUUUCAUCUCUGUCUGAAUUUGCAGAACAUCUUGCUGCCUCUGUGGACAUAGUAUUCCCUGUAAUUCAUGGUCGAUUUGGUGAAGAUGGUGGCAUUCAGGAGCUAUUGGAAAAGUACAAUAUUCCAUUUGUUGGCACAGGAUCAAGGGAGUGUCGUCAAGCAUUUGACAAGUAUCAUGCAUCCUUGGAGCUUAGCAAACAAGGAUUCAUAACUGUACCCAGUUUUUUAGUGCAGGGAAGCAAAAUAGACGAAUCUGAAUUAUCCAAGUGGUUUGCAAGCAACCAAUUGGACCCUAUCUCAGGGAAAGUUGUGGUGAAGCCAGCUGUAGCAGGAUCAAGUAUUGGUGUAAUAGUUGCUUAUGGUGUUACUGAUUCUCUUAAAAAAGCGAAUGAUAUAAUUUUGGAGGGGAUUGACAAUAAAGUCCUUGUUGAAAUAUUCCUUGAGGGAGGAAGCGAGUUUACAGCCAUCGUAUUUGAUGUGGGAUCUGGCUUUGAUUGUCAUCCUGUUGUUCUACUGCCAACUGAGGUGGAACUCCAGUUUCAUGGCAAUGUUGAUAUAAGGGAAAAGGACGCAAUUUUCAAUUACCGAAGAAAGUAUCUUCCAACACAACAGGUUGCUUAUCAUACUCCUCCUCGUUUUCCUGUAGAUGUAAUUAGAAAGAUUCGAGAAGGAGCAUCUCUAUUAUUCCAACGGCUUCACCUACGUGAUUUUGCUCGGAUAGAUGGAUGGUUUUUGCCUCCUUCAACUAAUGCAUUCUCGUCUUCAGAUGGGAAAUUUGGAAGGACUGAUUUUGGUACAAUAGUAUUCACUGACAUUAACCUGAUCAGCGGAAUGGAGCAGACCAGCUUUUUAUUUCAACAAGCUUCAAAGGUUGGAUUCUCUCAUUCAAAUAUUCUGCGGAGCAUCAUCCGUCGUGCUUGCUUGAGGUUUCCCAAUCUUGCUUUAAACAAUAAUAUAUCUGAUCAUUUGCCAAGAAGAUCAAAAUCCUCGCAGCUAACUGAAACGUUCAGCAAACGUGAAGGGACUCGCAAAGUUUUUGUUAUUUUUGGAGGGGACACUUCAGAGCGGCAAGUAUCCCUUAUGAGUGGAACAAAUGUAUGGCUUAGCUUGCAAGCAUUUGAUGAUCUCGAUGUAAUUCCUUGUUUGCUUGCUCCAUCAAAUGGCAAUUCUUCUGAUGCUAGUUCUAGAGCAGUUUGGUCAUUGCCUUACUCUCUUGUGCUGAGACACACAACAGAGGAAGUUCUUGAUGCCUGCAUAGAGGCAAUUGAACCAGCUCGGGCUGCAUUGACAUCUCACUUGCGUAACCAAGUGACAAAUGAUCUCAUGAAAGGUUUGAAGAAGCAUAGUUGGUUUAAAGGGUUUGAUAUUGCUGAUGAAAUACCUACAAGAUUUUCAUUGGAGGAGUGGAUUAAGCUAGUCAAGGAAGUUCAAGCAACAGUUUUCAUUGCAGUGCAUGGCGGCAUGGGUGAAGAUGGUACACUUCAGUCUUUGCUGGAGGCCGAAGGAGUUCCAUAUACAGGUUUAUUCUAUGCGUACUUGGAAUGCAAACAGUCAAGUUGUUCUAAAAUUAAAUUGUUAAUUGUCCUUCUAUUUUCAAAUAAAGGUCCUGGUGUAGCAGCUUCAAGGACUUGUAUGGACAAAGUUGCAACAUCUUUGGCUCUGAGGAAUCUUGCAGAUUUGGGAGUUCUUACCAUAACUAAAGAAGUGUGCAAAAAAGAGGAUUUGCUAACUGUACCUGCACCUGGGACUUGGAAUAUUUUGACCUCAAAUCUUCAGUGUGAAACUUUAUGUGUUAAACCAGCAAGAGACGGAUGCUCAACUGGUGUUGCAAGAUUAUGGUCAGUUUUUAACCUUUUUUUAUUGCCAAUCCUCUUUAUCAAUUUAUUGCAUUUGGAUUGAGGGAUUUGAUAAUUCAUAGGUUUUAUUUGAUUGAAUUUAUGUUAAAUUCUCGAAUGUAAAUAAUAACUUUUUGAGUCUGAAUUUUGGAAUACAUAUGAAAAGCUGUAAUUUAUUGCACUUAAAAUAAGCUCUCAUUCACAUGCAUGAAUCUAUCUCCUUGCAUGAAUGUAGUAAAUCAAAGAAUGCGCAACUUCUAGUCAAACAAGUUGAACUUCAUAUCCAAUUUCUGUCAUUUGAAAUUCUUCUGUCCAAACAUAGCAUUUUUUUAUUUCUUCGACAGGUGGUGGUUGUUGAUUGCCUGUGUUUUUGGAAACUGGAAUGUUCCUAAAGACUUAAAUGUGCUGAAGCUGAUAUCAUCUAUAUUCUAUAUUAUACUUAUUUUAAUAUUUCUCAUUGUAUUGUUGUUGAGCAUAUUGUGCUUAUUUAAUUGUCCAUGUAGUUGUGCGGAGGACCUUGCAGUUUAUGUCAAAGCAUUGGGGGACUGCCAUCUUCGGAUACCACCUAAUAGCUUGUCAAAGGCACAUGGAAUGAUUGAGAUGCCCAGCCCUCCUCCAGAGCUCUUGAUCUUCGAACCUUUCAUUGAGACUGAUGAGAUUGUUUUUUCAUCUAAAUCUAUCAGUGAAAAUGCACAUCGCCUAAUGUGGAAAGGACACAGUCGAUGGGUGGAAAUAACAGUUGGAGUCAUAGGAAAAUGUGGAUCUAUGCACUCGCUGAGUCCUAGUGUCACCAUUAAAGAAACUGGUGAUAUUUUAUCACUUGAAGAGAAAUUUCAAGGUGGAACUGGCAUCAACCUUACUCCUCCACCUUCAUCAAUUGUUAGUAAUGAGGCUUUGCAGAAAUGUAAACAGCAUAUUGAACUGAUUGCGAACACUCUACAAUUAGAAGGAUUUUCACGAAUCGAUGCUUUUCUUAAUGUUGAUAAUGGAGAGGUGCUGGUUAUAGAGGUCAAUACCGUCCCUGGAAUGACUCCUUCCACGGUCCUGAUUCAUCAGGCACUGGCUGAGCAACCUCCUAUGUAUCCGCAUCGGUUCUUUCGCACACUGCUUGAUUUGGCAUCAGAGAGAAGUAAAUAGAAUUUUGUUAUAUUCUAUUAUCUCGUUAUUUUGGAAGCAUUGCGUGUGUGGUUUGUGGCACUGCUAUGGAAUUGCAGCAUGUAGAACUUGCCCCCACCACCCUAUAAACAAAUGUUGAAACAUUCUCAGAUAAAUUUGCAAUCAUGGGUCUCAACCAACUGGAUGAAUUCAAGAUGUUUUUUCACGUGUAAUGAUUUGCAGUGGUGAUACUCCUUGAAUCU
rnacentral:misc_RNA from 1 species